AUUUCUUGGUUUUUGUAAUGCGUUCCAACCAAAAGAGUCUCAAAUAACUUUGCAAGAUAUUUACAGGAAUGUUGUCACCCACCAGUGAAAUACGGCUAGCUCUUCAGCUGAGCGUUAACACUGUCUCCUUCAGCUUUACAGGGGUGUUACAAUAAAAUUAAGGACAGAAAGAGAGAAUCAUGAAGCCAUUUGAAGCUGCUGAGGAUUUACAAUAGCUGGGUUAUAUGAACUGGACUAGCACAGAAAUUUGUUAGAACACUGUAGAAAAUGCUCCAAGCUGACACAGGACUUUGAAAAUUAUCAGGAACCUGCUGAAUUUGAAGGAACAGGAAAAAAGAGGUUGCACUCAGUGGCUAAAUCUGUCCUCUCAAGGGAGCACACAUUACUACUGCAGCAGCAGAGGUGGAGGCAGCCCAGACCCAGAAAUGUGAAGGCAUCCAUAUUUUCCGCAGAACUUCCUUCAAAUGAAUAUUUCCCAAUUGGGAAAAGCCCUGAAAACAUUAUAGACCGAGCUACAUUUUAUCCAUGGAGCUGAAGUGCGGAGACAAAGAAAGGAAUACAGUUUUGAAAAGUACAGAAUCUGAGCAGCAGCCCCAAAAUGGAAAAGAAAAUUUGAAGGUCACCUGCGUGCUCAAGCGAUGGCCAACGUACAGGAGGAUGGCGAUCAUCUGAGAGUCUACAGGCACUUGUGACAAACUAAUUUAUUCCACAUCAACAGGACUGAAGCCAAUUGAACAAAGAACCUCAGUAACAGCCUGACUUGACCAAACCUUGUCAAGAAGCAUUGAAUCUUGGGCACAAUGACAUUCUGCCUUGGAUACUGUAUAGCUGCGUGUUUGUGGAUUUCAAAAGUCAUAUGCAUCAGGGAAGGAAACUUUAAAAACUUCAGUCUUGCAAAAUUCAGGAGUUCUUAUACUGCAGACUACAGAUCAUGUAUCUUCUAAAGCCACUGUUUAACCGUUUUUAAGAUUCUCAUCAACUUUCAAAGCCUUUUGUUAGGAAGCUCUUCAGCUGACAGUAUCGUGGCUUCUGAAGGCAUCUCUCUGAAACACUGUCUGCAACAAGAAUGAGAGAUGUCAGCAAAGGAAGCAGAGGGCUGGAUGUGGAACUAACUCCCUUUUGAAAGCACCAGAAUAGUUACAGAUCCUCCUGCUAUGAGACCACUUUUUGUCCAACAGACACAAGAGAAGUACAAUACUAUAAAUAUGAUAGACAAAUUCAGUGCUAACAGUAAGAUAUAAAUGUAGGGAAAAAAAAGGAAGAUGUACCUUUGUGCAUAACUGCUGAAGUAUAUUAGAUACCAUGGAGGCCAGUUGGAUAUAGCUGCCUUAAGAGAGACCAUGGAUUAAGUUUUACCUGACAGUUUUAGAGCAGUGAAGAGAAAGAAGCUUUAAAACAGGACACGCACACCUCAGAAAAGAUUGUCAGAGCCAACAGUGAAAAAUGAGUGUAUGCAGAAAGCUUGGUUAAACUGAGCUUGCUACGAACUUUUUCAGACAACAAUGCCUCGCUUCUCCAGAAGCAUCUGCAGUAUUGCCAUCGUUACUACUGGUUACCAAUUGCCCAGGACUUUGUUAGUAGAAAAAGGAAUUAUUUUUACUCAGAACACUUUAUUCUUAUUGAGCGUCAAUAACUGAAGUGUUGCUGGGAGGGUCUCAUUGUCACCUGACUGUGCCUUUUCACAACCAGUGAGAUUACCAUCAGAAAUAAAGCUGCUCAG
ensembl:lncRNA